rnacentral:rRNA from 1 species
GUCGGGAAUUUUGGGCAAUGGGCGAAAGCCUGACCCAGCAACGCCGCGUGAAGGAUGAAGUCUUUCGGGAUGUAAACUUCGUAAGAAUAGGAAGAAUAAAUGACGGUACUAUUUGUAAGGUCCGGCUAACUACGUGCCAGCAGCCGCGGUAAUACGUAGGGACCAAGCGUUGUUCGGAUUUACUGGGCGUAAAGGGCGCGUAGGCGGCGUGUUAAGUCACUUGUGAAAUCUCUAAGCUUAACUUAGAACGGUCAAGUGAUACUGAUGUGCUAGAGUGCAGAAGGGGCAACCGGAAUUCUUGGUGUAGCGGUGAAAUGCGUAGAUAUCAAGAGGAACACCUGAGGUGAAGACGGGUUGCUGGGCUGACACUGACGCUGAGGCGCGAAAGCUAGGGUAGCAAACGGGAUUAGAAACCCUAGUAGUCC